rnacentral:rRNA from 1 species
CCACGGGUGGCAGCAGUGGGGAAUAUUGGACAAUGGGCGAAAGCCUGAUCCAGCCAUGCCGCGUGUGUGAAGAAGGCCUUCGGGUUGUAAAGCACUUUCAGUGGGGAAGAAAGCCUUGGGGCUAAUACCCUCGAGGAAGGACAUCACCCACAGAAGAAGCACCGGCUAACUCCGUGCCAGCAGCCGCGGUAAUACGGAGGGUGCGAGCGUUAAUCGGAAUUACUGGGCGUAAAGCGCGCGUAGGCGGUCUGAUAAGCCGGUUGUGAAAGCCCCGGGCUCAACCUGGGAACGGCAUCCGGAACUGUCAGGCUAGAGUGCAGGAGAGGAAGGUAGAAUUCCCGGUGUAGCGGUGAAAUGCGUAGAGAUCGGGAGGAAUACCAGUGGCGAAGGCGGCCUUCUGGACUGACACUGACGCUGAGGUGCGAAAGCGUGGGUAGCAAACAGGAUUAGAUACCCGAGUAGUC